rnacentral:lncRNA from 10 species
GCUUCAGUCUUUUCCCUACUUCCCAAGCCAGUCCUUAAACAUAGGCAAGGAUUUUGCCACCUGCCAUGUUUCCAGAACCAGGUGGCAUUUGCUCUAGUAAUAGCCCAAACCAGCUUACCAUUGAGUAAAUAUGUUAUUGUGUGCAGGUGACCUGGGUCCACCCCCUGCUCUGAUCCUAACUGCUGACCCAGACUUCAGAUUCAAAGCUGACUGAGGACAGUGUAUCAUUUAUUCCUGAACACCAGCUCCACAACUAGUAGAACAACAACCACAUUGAUGUGAGCUCCUCAUACAUCUUCAGCCAAGGCACACAGAAAAAGGAAAUGCCUGACAAACAACCCUUCUGAGUGAAGAAUGAUGGGAUCUAAUGCCAGGACUCUGUUGAUUGGCCAGUGGAUAUCAACACAUAUGAUGUAAGCAGAGACUUGAAAAGCAUUUAGCAUUGCCCUCUUGCUGCACUUGGAGAUAACCAUGUGAACAAGCCCGAGCUAUCCUGCUGGAAGAUGAGAGACACAUGGAUAAGAACUAACAACCUGCCCAACCAUCAGACUUGCGAAUGAGGCCAUCUUUGGUCAUCCAGUCACAAGACACCCCACAGAUGUACAUUGGCAAGAGUACAACAGGAGUCAGCCGGGACAACCCAGCCCAGAAGAGCUGCCCAGACAACCUACAGAAUCAUGAGCUAAAUAUGACACUCAAGGUGUAGGCAAAUAUGCACAGAGUCUAAGACUUAGGCCCAUUUUCCUAAAAAUUCCCUUUUAUUAUUGAACCACCGAAAUAAUUUUUUAAUAUUCUUAAACAACCAAAAUUGUGGUAAGCAUGUUCAGGUGCAGUGGAGACUGGAUAGUGUAUUUAGGACUCUCCUGGUGUGCCUCAUUACCUACCAAUUACACCAGACCAUCUGACAAAGCCUGCUCUUAACCAUACAGGUAACUGUAUUCGAAAUGACACUUUUGAAUAUUUUGAGGACUAAAUGAGUGUGUGUCUGUGUGUGUGUGUGUAUGUUUGUGUAUAGUAAAUGCUGUCUGUGCUCUGUCCCCAUUCCCUACACGUCCUUCUCAUGUUUAUGUGUGUGCAUUCACUCCAGCAGCCAGGACCUCCUUUCUUUGGGAGAAACUAUUCCUCACCCAACCAAACCACAGGGCUCUCUCAUGGACUGACAGUCUUAGUCCACCCCUAACCCAGCCACAGGUGACUGAUCCAUCAACAGGCAAGUGACCCAAAUCACACCAACCAGAAUCCUGGCCUGGAAUUUUCAAACUAAAGCCUAGGAGAGACAGAUGGUUAGACUUAUCAACAAGGACCUCUCAGCAGCUGUGUUCCCUUCCAGUCUGAUAUUCAGAGAGACAGAGAAAAAAAGAGACCAGUAGAGUAUAUGUCAUGGGCCUUCCCCAUGAGAUGAGACACCAAUGUGCCUUUUUGUCCCAAGUCAGUUAGAGGUAUGUUUCUGUCACUUGCAACCAACAGAUCUCUGGUUGACUGACACCUCUGGAUUCCUGGUUUCCUAGCACUCUUGGUCUUAUUUGAAAUCCACUUGCUGAAGCCACCUAUUAGACCUAGACUGACUGCUCCUUCUUGGUCAUAUCUUGGAUAUGGUGUUUCCCCUCAGGGUUCCUGAAGUCUGUUCUUUGUCCACUCAUGCAGUGUGGUCCCAAGAAGAAUAAAAACAUGAAGUUCACAGCACUGCGGAGAACAGCAUCAGCCUUUUCCUAACUAAAGCUCUUUACUUCGUUAGACAUUAGCUCCCUCUUCUUUGCUCAGCCUCCUCAGCCACUAGUGACCAGCAUUAACCUUGAGGUUGUCUAAAGAUGAAAGAAGAGGCCUAGACAAUUCAUGACCAAAACACAAUCAUAGCGACUCUGUUUGACAUAGAGAGGAAUUGGACAACAUUGGAUCAUUCAUAUGAAUAUGUGCAUGUUUAAUUAAGUUGGCAGAGACAACACUCUUGCCAUGUGACACAGCGGCUCUCAAACUUUACUUGUUUCAGAAACAUCUGUGAUGCUUUUUCUAUCUACAGAUACCACAGUCCCUCCCCAGACCUCUUGGAUACAGGCUUUGAAAGUGGGUUAAAAAUAAGAGCAAAUGAUAAAAAUCACCAGAUUAAAAAUGGGCAAAGGACUUGAAUAGUCAUUUCUCCAAAGAUGAUGAACAAAUGGCCAAAAAGCACUUAAUACCACUGAACUGCACACUUAAAAACGGAAAAGAUGGUAAAUUUUAUAUCAUGUGUAUUUUACCACAAUAAAAUAAAAAU